rnacentral:rRNA from 1 species
GACGUAGGGCGCGAGCGUUGUCCGGAUUUAUUGGGCGUAAAGAGCUCGUAGGCGGCUUGUCGCGUCGUCCGUGAAAACCCACAGCUCAACUGUGGGCUUGCGGUCGAUACGGGCGGACUGGAGUUCGGCAGGGGAGACUGAAAUUCCUGGUGUAGCGGUGAAAUGCGCAGAUAUCAGGAGGAACACCGGUGGCGAAGGCGGGUCUCUGGGCCGAUACUGACGCUGAGGAGCGAAAGCGUGGGGAGCGAACAGG